ACCUCAAUUGAUCCCUUGUUCGCGCUGACACAGGAGUAAGCUCCACCGCCCGCUGUCCUGUUAUCCAUCACCUGCUGACCCACUCCACUCUAUGAUAUUUGCUCUUGAGCUGGUCCCCUCACUGUUCAGACGGAGUGUACUGCCAGAGGUGAGCGGGCCGGCAGAAGGCGCUGAGAUGGCAGUCGGUUCCGCUGUCCGGUGAUGGAGGCCACUCGUAGCCACGCGAGCUGCUUCCCUCCCCGGUCACAAUGCGGUGGCGCCCGGAGCGCCACGGCAGCGGUGAGUGACCAAGUUACUGGCAUGAACCCGAACCUCCCCUUCUCAAUGCUCCUGCCCUCCCCGCAACUUUACCCCUGGCUAGACUCCACACACGCUGUGAAAGAAACUAUCCUCCGAAUUAUCAUAUUACUCAUGACAUGUGACUCAUUUAUAAUUAUUUAUUUAUAUUUGUAUGAACAUUUUUCCUAAUUGGGCCCCGCACCUCCGAAAGCCGGCCCUGUGCUUAUAUAUUAAAGACAGAUGCAAAGUGAUGAAAUAACUCGGCAUCUCUGGAGUACAUGGAUAGGUGAUAUUUUGUGUCGGGAUACUUCCUCGCCUAUCUUUGAUAGAAAUCAGCAUCAGCAGUUUCGACAUUUGUUUCUAUAUUGUUCUGCACUGUUCUCUUAGAGUUGUUCUCUAAUGAUAGUUUAGUCUUAAAGAAGUGAGUGUGAAUAAAAAAUGUGAAAAAGAGCAACUUGGAUCUGCAUGCAGAAUGGAUUACUUUGUAUUCACCAGAAAGCAUGCUGUAGGAAUCUGUUACUAUAAUUACAUUAACAUGCUGUACACUUCAGACAUUUCAAAUUCAAUACACUAAAACAGCUUUAAUUUGCACUUUUUUGAUGUGUAGUUACAAAUUUCUUAACAGCAACCAAACUUUGUUCACUGAUAGCGAUUAACUUUGUGACGACUUCCCUGUUGACAGCAAUUGACGUUAUGAUGUUAAGGGAACAAAUCAUGCAGAAUACUGUAUGUCUGCACAUCAGACGUUUCAUUAUAUUACACACCUGUUUCAAAAAAAAUGAAACUUAAUUAUUCAAGACAAGUUUAAUAGGAAGGGUAAUCUAUUUGCAGUUUAAUUUUAGCUUUUUUUGCUUUAUCUACAUUUUGUAAAAAUGGACAUUGCAGAAAUACUCUGUGUUCUUGAACUCCCAUGGAUCUGUGAAAACUGCUCUUAAGAUUUCAUAGCACAACUUUGAGAACUGUUGAUACUGUUUUGUAUGUUACGCUAAAAAUACAUGAAGUGCUGGCAGGCAGGCAGCAUCUCUGGAGAUCAUGGAUAGGUGAUGUUUUGGGUCACGACCCUUCUUCCGUCAGAACAGAAUGGGAUCUGUCUUCAGUCUGAAGAAGGGGCCGGACUCAAAAAGUCGCUUAUCCGUGAUGUUGCCUGGCCCGCCAGUUACUCCAUCACUUUUUUUUGUAAACCAGCAUCUGAAGUUCCUGCAUCUACAGUGUAUGUUACCUUCAACAGGAAUCAGGCCAUUGCGUUGUGAUUCAGUUGGGUGGCUUUCUGUCUGAGAUAAAGUAUGGGAGACGACAACUCACGCUGUAGCAGGACGCCCACGACGCACGAUGAAUGUCUUGUUUGGAAUCGCCAAAGGCUGCUGGACUUUGUCCUUCGACUGGUCUUUGGAGCAAGGAUGUUGGGUUCCUGAAGAACCAUUUGAACUCUCAACUCAGUUUCCUGCAGCAACUCGCCAGAGACCCAAGUGCGAUCCUGACUACCAGUGCUACCUGCAUGGAGCUUGUACGUUCUCCCCGUGACCUCCGUGUGUUUUCUCCGGAAUCUCCAGUUUUCUCCCACACUCCAAAGACGUACAGGUAUGUAGGUUAAUUGACUUAUUAUUGUACAUUUCUGUAGUGUGUGUUGGUUAUGGUGCAGUGAUCAGUGGUCAGCCUGGACUCAGUGAGUCGAAGGGCCUGUUUCCACGCUGUAUCUCUAAACUAAACUAAACUAAAUCCUGCAGUGUUUCAGGUGCUUGGUAUCCUGUGCCAGCUCUUCCUCAAACAAUAUCUUAACCUUAGAGAAACAAAGAAAUGCAGGUGCUGGAUUACAACAAAAAACACAAUGUACUGGAAUAACAGCAGGGCAGGCAGCAUCUCUGGUGAACAUGAACAUGUGAUGUUUUGGGUCGGUCUCUUCUUCAGACUGCAGUUUCUCUUAUCUCCGUUUUAUGGACAUAUAUCUAUCUACCUGCUUUGUGAGGUUUUGUUCCUGUCCUGUUAUCUAAUUUAUAUUUCCUAAUUGGACAGAUCACUCCUUCAGGCUGUGAUGAUAGAACCUCAUUGUCCGCAGAGUGUGCAACAGUGAAGAGUGCACAGUGUGUAAAAGGGUCCCGACCUGAAACGUCACCUAUCCAUGUUCUCCAGAGAUGCUGCCUGACCCGUUGAGUUACUCCAGCUUUCUGUGUCCUUUUCUCAGAAUUAUUUUUUUAUUGAUCCUUGACCCCACUACACCGCACCAGUUAUUGCCACACCUGAAAGUUAAUUGCAAAACUGAAACUAUGAUAAAAUGCCGGUUUCAUCUAUCAUUGGUGAUGGAACCUUUUUGAUGUGGUGAAUUGAAAGUAAGGGGCAGCACAGUGGUGCAGCAGUAGAGUCGCUGCCUUACUGUGCCAGAGACCCGGGUUCAAUCCUGACCACGGGUGCUGUCUGUGUGGAGUUUGUACGUUCUCCCUGUGACUGCGUGGGUUUUCUCCAGGUGCUCUGAUUUUGUCCCACACUCCAAAUACAUACAGGUUUGUUGGUUCAUUGGCUUUGGUAUAAUUGUAAAUUUUCCCUA